rnacentral:lncRNA from 1 species
CCUAAGUUAUUAUUCUUCUAAAGUUUGCAUAAUUCUGAGAACUUAUGAAAGACAGAGCAUCCACUUAGGUAGCUGAAAGAGCAAAUCCCAUUGACAACAAAGUUCUUUUCACAUCAAUAUUAGCACUUGAUAUGAAAAGACUGCCCAUUUGGAAUUUAAAUCCAGGCUGUAAUUGCAUAGAAAAGUCUCCAUAGACCCUUCCCAGAGUUAGGGUUUGUUCACUCUGUAUCAGUUAGCCAACUGAGAUUUUGACAACUGGGAAACUAUUUGUGGGAAAAAUUUCUGUCUUUGUGACAAUGAAGUUGAGGUUAAACUUUGCUAAAGGAGGACUUGCUAUAGAGUGGAGAGAUGCAGUUUUUUAAGGAAAUUAAAUUGCACCCCAUACCUAAGUAUUUUUCAGUUUUUCUCUGUCCAGCCAUACCAAUAAGGUCACAGAGAUGUAUUUCAAAGCACAGUAAACUUUUUGCAUGAAUAAAAACAUUUUGUAACUUUUCUUAAAAGAUAUUUAAUAGCUGGUGUUGCCAUUUCUUCCCAUUGAUAAUUAAAAAAUUAAAUAUGCUUUUAAGUACUAUGUCAUGAUGCACAUCAAUUUAUAAAGUAAUUGGUGGUUAAAGUAUUUUU